AUUGAACGCUGGCGGCAUGCCUUACACAUGCAAGUCGAACGGUAACUGGUCUUCGGAUGCUGACGAGUGGCGAACGGGUGAGUAAUACAUCGGAACGUGCCUAGUAGUGGGGGAUACCUACUCGAAAGAGUGGCUAAUACCGCAUGAGAUCUACGGAUGAACGCAGGGGAUCGCAUGACAUUGUGCUACGAGAGCGGCCGAUGGCAGAUUAGGUAGUUGGUGGGAUAAAAGCUUACCAAGCCGACGAUCUGUAGCUGGUCUGAGAGGACGAUCAGCCACACUGGGAGUGAGACACGGCCCAGACGCCUACGGUAGGCAGCAGUGGGGAAUUUUGGACAAUGGGCGCAAUCCUGAUCCAGCAAUGCCGCGUGCAGGAUGAAGGCCUUCGGGUUGUAAACUGCUUUUGUACGGAACGAAAAGCCCUGGGUUAAUACCCUGGGGUCAUGACGGUACCGUAAGAAUAAGCACCGGCUAACUACGUGCCAGCCGCCGCCGUAACAC
rnacentral:rRNA from 1 species